rnacentral:rRNA from 1 species
AUACGGAGGGUGCAAGCGUUAAUCGGAAUUACUGGGCGUAAAGCGCGCGUAGGCGGCGAAUUAAGUUUGAUGUGAAAGCCCCGGGCUUAACCUGGGAAUGGCAUUGGAUACUGGUUUGCUAGAGUGUGGUAGAGGAAGGUGGAAUUCCCGGUGUAGCGGUGAAAUGCAUAGAUAUCGGGAGGAACACCAAUGGCGAAGGCGGCUGUCUGGACCAUUACUGACGCUGAGGCGCGAAAGCGUGGGGAGCAAACAGGAUUAGAAACCCCGGUAGUCC